GGGCGUUUAGCUCAGUUGGUUCAGAGCACUACCUCGACAAGGUAGGGGUCGGCAGUUCGAGCCUGCCAACGCCCA
rnacentral:tRNA from 1 species